rnacentral:rRNA from 1 species
ACACAUGCAAGUCGAACGAGAGAUGAGGAGCUUGCUCUUCAAAUCGAGUGGCGAACGGGUGAGUAACGCGUGAGGAACCUGCCUCAAAGAGGGGGACAACAGUUGGAAACGACUGCUAAUACCGCAUAAGCCCACGGCUCGGCAUCGAGCAGGGGGAAAAGGAGCAAUCCGCUUUGAGAUGGCCUCGCGUCCGAUUAGCUAGUUGGUGAGGUAAUGGCCCACCAAGGCGACGAUCGGUAGCCGGACUGAGAGGUUGAACGGCCACAUUGGGACUGAGACACGGCCCAGACUCCUACGGGAGGCAGCAGUGGGGAAUAUUGCACAAUGGGGGAAACCCUGAUGCAGCGACGCCGCGUGGAGGAAGAAGGUCUUCGGAUUGUAAACUCCUGUUGUUGAGGAAGAUAAUGACGGUACUCAACAAGGAAGUGACGGCUAACUACGUGCCAGCAGCCGCGGUAAAACGUAGGUCACAAGCGUUGUCCGGAAUUACUGGGUGUAAAGGGAGCGCAGGCGGGAGAACAAGUUGGAAGUGAAAUCCAUGGGCUCAACCCAUGAACUGCUUUCAAAACUGUUUUUCUUGAGUAGUGCAGAGGUAGGCGGAAUUCCCGGUGUAGCGGUGGAAUGCGUAGAUAUCGGGAGGAACACCAGUGGCGAAGGCGGCCUACUGGGCACCAACUGACGCUGAGGCUCGAAAGUGUGGGUAGCAAACAGGAUUAGAUACCCUGGUAGUCCACACCGUAAACGAUGAUUACUAGGUGUUGGAGGAUUGACCCCUUCAGUGCCGCAGUUAACACAAUAAGUAAUCCACCUGGG